rnacentral:piRNA from 1 species
UUAAGAUCUCUUACUAUUGUGCUUUG